CGUAUCCAACCUGCCGUCUACUCUUGGACAGCCUUCUGAAAGGAAGAUUAAUACAAGAUGGCAUCAUGAGUCCGCAUAGUUCACAAGAUUAAAGGUAUUCCGGUAGACGAUGGGGAGUGCGUUCCAUUAGAUAGUAGGCGGGGUAACGGCCCACCUAGUCUUCGAUGGAUAGGGGUUCUGAGAGGAAGGUCCCCCACAUUGGAACUGAGGCACGGUCCAAACUCCUACGGGAGGCAGCAUG
rnacentral:rRNA from 1 species